CGUGCUUAACACAUGCAAGUCGAGCGGUAAGGCCCUUCGGGGUACACGAGCGGCGAACGGGUGAGUAACACGUGAGUAACCUGCCCCUGACUCUGGGAUAAGCCCGGGAAACCGGGUCUAAUACCGGAUAUGACUCCUGCUCGCAUGGGUGGGGGUGGAAAGGUUGGUUUUCCUUCCGGUCGGGGAUGGGCUCGCGGCCUAUCAGCUUGUUGGUGGGGUGACGGCCUACCAAGGCGAUGACGGGUAGCCGGCCUGAGAGGGCGACCGGACACACUGGGACUGAGACACGGCCCAGACUCCUGCGGGAGGCAGCAGUGGGGAAUAUUGCGCAAUGGGCGGAAGCCUGACGCAGCGACGCCGCGUGGGGGAUGAAGGCCUUC
rnacentral:rRNA from 1 species